UUUCCGGUUGAUCCUGCCAGACCUGACUGCUAUCGGAUUGAUACUAAGCCAUGCGAGUCAUUGUAGUAAUACAAGGCAUACGGCUCAGUAACGCGUAGUCAACCUAACCUAUGGACGGGAAUAACCUCGGGAAACUGAGUAUAAUGCCCGAUAGAACAUUAUGCCUGGAAUGGUUUAUGUUCCAAAUGAUUUAUCGCCGUAGGAUGGGACUGCGGCCUAUCAGUUUGUUGGUGAGGUAAUGGCCCACCAAGACUAUUACAGGUACGGGCUCUGAGAGGAGUAGCCCGGAGAUGGGUACUGAGACACGGACCCAGGCCCUAUGGGGCGCAGCAGGCGAGAAAACUUUGCAAUGUGCGAAAGCACGACAAGGUUAAUCCGAGUGGUUUCUGCUAAAGGAACCUUUUGUUAGUCCUAGAAACACUAACGAAUAAGGGGUGGGCAAGUUCUGGUGUCAGCCGCCGCGGUAAAACCAGCACCUCAAGUGGUCAGGAUGAUUAUUGGGCCUAAAGCAUCCGUAGCCGGAUCUGUAAGUUUUCGGUUAAAUCUGUAUGCUCAACGUACAGGCUGCCGGGAAUACUGCAGAUCUAGGGAGUGGGAGAGGUAGACGGUACUCGGGAGGAAGGGGUAAAAUCCUUUGAUCUCUCGAUGACCACCUGUGGCGAAGGCGGUCUACCAGAACACGUCCGACGGUGAGGGAUGAAAGCUGGGGGAGCAAACCGGAUUAGAUACCCGGGUAGUCCCAGCUGUAAACUAUGCAAACUCAGUGAUGCAUUGACUUGUGGUCAAUGCAGUGCUGCAGGGAAGCCGUUAAGUUUGCCGCCUGGGAAGUACGUACGCAAGUAUGAAACUUAAAGGAAUUGGCGGGGGAGCACCACAAGGGGUGAAGCCUGCGGUUC
rnacentral:rRNA from 1 species